UUUCUCAUGGAAAACUUGGAGUAAAUUUCAACCAUUGAAAAAUUGAAAGAUUUGGGUUUAUUUGACUGAUGGGUAUUAAUUGAAUUUGAUUGUGAUUGUUGUUGAUGGGUUUUUGUGAGAUAUAAUUGAGUUUGUAGCUUGCAGGUUUAUGAUCCUGUGGAGUUUUGGGUUUGAAUUCGUCGCAUCUACUCUAAUAUCAUAUUAAAUCAUGGACUAUUGAAGGAUAAUGCAGAUGGUAUAAAGCAUUGGGCAUAUGGAGGUGACUUUGUGGGGAUAUUCCUAAUGAUUUGAAUUUCUGUUUGAAUGGGAUUAUGUGGCCAGAUCGAACUCCUCAUCCUGCAGUACAUGAAGUCAAGUAUCUCUAUCAACCGAUCAAGGUUUCAUUAGAGAAAGGAACACUUAAGAUAACAAACACCCAAUUUUUUGAAACAAUACAAGGAUUGGAAUUCAGCUGGCCUGCUAAUGGGGAUGGAUGUGAACUUGGAACUGGAGUUUUAUCUCUUCCACUGAUAGAACCACAGAGCAGUUUUGGUAUUGGAUGGAAGUCGGGUCCAUGGUAUUCUCUGUGGGAUUCAUAGAAAUUAAGCCUAACUAGAUUCAAAUUCAUUUUGCAACUUUAUUUUCUGAAUGCACUCAAAACUGGAAUCAAUUUCAAAACAUUUUCAACUUUAAGUA